AUGGAUUCAAUAAACUGUAAAGGGAUGUCAGGGGAGGUAAACGGUGCAGCCGGCGCCGUGAGCUCCGGGCCCAUGGCAACCUAGGGCCCUGUCCUGCAGGCUGCAGAUGGCAAGUACAAGCAACUCAAGGGUGAGUGGAACCAUAAAAGCCCCAACCUUAGCAAGUGCAGGGAAGGGCUGGGCCGCCUCAAGCUAGUUCUUCUGGAGCUCAAAUUCUUGCCAACCACAGGGACCAGGCUGACCAAACAGCAGCUCAUUCUAGCCCGUGACAUACUGGAGAUCGGGGCCAGUGGAGCAUCCUAUGCAAGGACAUCCCCUCCUUCAAGCGCCACAUGGCCCAGCCCAAAUGGUGCUACUUUGAUUACAAGGAACAGCUUCCCGAGUCAGCCUACAUGCACCAGCUCUUGGGCCUCAACCUCCUCUUCCUGCUGUCCCAGAAGCAGGUGGCUGAGUUCCACAUGGAGUUGGAGUGGCUGCCUGCCAAGGACAUCCAGACCAAUGUCUACAUCAAACACCCUGUGCCGCUGGAGCAAUACCUGAUGGAGGGCAGCUACAACAAAGUGUUCCUGGCCAAGGGUAACAUCCCCGCCGAGAGCUACACCUUCUUCAUCGACAUCCUGCUUAACACUAUCAGGGAUGAGCUCGCCGGGUGCAUUGAGAAAGCCUAUGAGAAAAUCCCUUUCACCGAGGCCACCAGAUCCUUUUCUUCAACACACCCAAAAAGACGACCGACUACACCAAGAAGUGAGGGUGGGUCCUGGGUCCCAACAACUAAUAUAGUUUUGCCAGCCAGCAACAGGAGUCAGAAGACAUUACCAUUCCCUCCACAGAACUGGCCAAACAGGUCACCGAGUAUGCCCGGCAGCCGAAGAUGAUCAUCUGAGCCCACCAGGCACGGGGUGGGGCAGGGCACACAUUAUUUAAAACAGUUACAGUGCAAGGUUUCCUCCAAUAAAGGUGGAUUGACCUUCUCUAAAAAAAUAAGUAAAAUAAAAUAUUGGAAUGGGAAGGAUGUUAUUAAGUAUGACACAAAACCCAGAAGCUAUAAAAAAGACUGGUAAAUUCAAUUACAGUUGGAAAAAAAAGUCUACAGCCAGGCACAGUGGCUCACACCUGUAAUCCCAGCACUUUGGGAGGCCAAGGAGG